rnacentral:snRNA from 1 species
AUGUUUACCCGACAGGAGCGAUACCAGGAUCACAAAGGUGGUUUUCCCAGAGCAAGACUUAACCGUUGCACUCCCUAAAUGUGAUCAAACACCACUGCAUGAUUUGUGGCAGUGGGGGACUGAAUUAACACUCUUCCCAU